rnacentral:misc_RNA from 1 species
UACGAAGGGUGCGAGCGUUGUUCGGAAUUAUUGGGCGUAAAGGGUUCGUAGGUGGGAAGAUAAGUCAGGUGUGAAAUCCCCGAGCUUAACUUGGGACGUGCAUUUGAAACUGUUUUUCUUGAGUAUUGGAGAGGGUCGUGGAAUUGCUGGUGUAGGAGUGAAAUCCGUAGAUAUCAGCAGGAACACCAGAGGCGAAGGCGGCGACCUGGCCAAAUACUGACGCUGAGGAACGAAAGCGUGGGGAGCAAACAGG